UGAGGAAUAUUGGGCAAUGCACGAAAGUGUGACCCAGCAACGCCGCGUGGAGGAUGAAGGUAUUCUAUAUCGUAAACUCCUGUGAGAGCAGACGAAAGACAGAUUAUUAAUUUGGAUGACUGUAUGCUCAGAGGAAGCCCCGGCUAACUACGUGCCAGCAGCCGCGGUAAUACGUAGGGGGCAAGCGUUGUCCGGAUUCACUGGGUGUAAAGGGCGCGUAGGCGGUAUAGCAAGUCAGUGGUGAAAUCUUGCAGCUCAACUGCAAAACUGCCAUUGAUACUGCUGUACUUGAGUGUGGAAGAGAGAGGCGGAAUUCCAGGUGUAGUGGUGAAAUACGUAGAUAUCUGGAAGAACACCAAUUGCGAAGGCUGCUUCUUGGUCCAUAACUGACGCUGAGGCGCGAAAGCGUGGGGAGCAAACA
rnacentral:rRNA from 1 species